rnacentral:rRNA from 1 species
UACAGAGGUCUCAAGCGUUGUUCGGAUUCAUUGGGCGUAAAGGGUGCGUAGGCGGCGCGGUAAGUCGGGUGUGAAAUCUCGGAGCUUAACUCCGAAACUGCAUUCGAUACUGCCGUGCUUGAGGACUGGAGAGGAGACUGGAAUUUACGGUGUAGCGGUGAAAUGCGUAGAUAUCGUAAGGAAGACCAGUGGCGAAGGCGGGGUCUCUGGACAGUUCCUGACGCUGAGGCACGAAAGCCAGGGGGAGCAAACGGG